GAAACAGUUCCUGAAACCAUGUGCCUACAAGCUGUCGGAGCACAUUUACGUGUGACGGCGUGCCUCUUGCAGAAUGAACCGGCGAGUCAUGAUUGCGUGCAAGGUUAAGGUGGAAAAACCGGAGCCGCAGCGAAAGCGAGUCUGAAAUGGGCGUACGAAGUACGCAGUUAUGUACCCGAAACCAGGUGACCUACCCAUGUCCAGGUUGAAGGUGCGGUAAAACGCACUGGAGGACCGAACCCGUAUCAGUUGAAA
rnacentral:rRNA from 1 species